rnacentral:tRNA from 1 species
AGGGGAUUAGUUCAGUGGUAGAACGUCGGUCUCCAAAACCGGAUGCCAGGGGUUCAAGUCCUCUAUCCCCUGCCA